rnacentral:rRNA from 1 species
GCAUGCGCAUCUAUAAUGCAGUCGACGAGUUCUCGUUGAUGAUCGGUGCUUGCACCGAGAUUCAACAUGGAACGAGUGGCGGACGGGUGAGUAACACGUGGGUAACCUGCCCUUAAGUGGGGGAUAACAUUUGGAAACAGAUGCUAAUACCGCAUAGAUCCAAGAACCGCAUGGUUCUUGGCUGAAAGAUGGCGUAAGCUAUCGCUUUUGGAUGGACCCGCGGCGUAUUAGCUAGUUGGUGAGGUAAUGGCUCACCAAGGCGAUGAUACGUAGCCGAACUGAGAGGUUGAUCGGCCACAUUGGGACUGAGACACGGCCCAAACUCCUACGGGAGGCAGCAGUAGGGAAUCUUCCACAAUGGACGCAAGUCUGAUGGAGCAACGCCGCGUGAGUGAAGAAGGCUUUCGGGUCGUAAAACUCUGUUGUUGGAGAAGAAUGGUCGGCAGAGUAACUGUUGUCGGCGUGACGGUAUCCAACCAGAAAGCCACGGCUAACUACGUGCCAGCAGCCGCGGUAAUACGUAGGUGGCAAGCGUUAUCCGGAUUUAUUGGGCGUAAAGCGAGCGCAGGCGGUUUUUUAAGUCUGAUGUGAAAGCCCUCGGCUUAACCGAGGAAGCGCAUCGGAAACUGGGAAACUUGAGUGCAGAAGAGGACAGUGGAACUCCAUGUGUAGCGGUGAAAUGCGUAGAUAUAUGGAAGAACACCAGUGGCGAAGCGGCUGUCUGGUCUGUAACUGACGCUGAGCUCGAAAGCAUGGGUAGCGAACAGGAUUAGAUACCCUGGUAGUCCAUGCCGUAACGAUGAAUGCUAGUGUUGGAGGGUUUCCGCCCUUUCAGUGCCGCAGCUAACGCAUUAGCAUUUCCGCCUGGGGGAGUACGACGCAGUGAACUCAAGGAUGACCGGGGGACCGCACAGCGUUGGAGCAUGUGAUUCAUUCGAGCCAACCGCGAAAGA